rnacentral:rRNA from 1 species
UACAGAGGUCUCAAGCGUUGUUCGGAUUCAUUGGGCGUAAAGGGUGCGUAGGUGGCGCUGUAAGUCGGGUGUGAAAUUUCGGAGCUUAACUCCGAAACUGCAUUCGAUACUGCGGUGCUUUGAGGACUGGAGAGGAGACUGGAAUUCAUGGUGUAGCAGUGAAAUUGCGUAGAGAUCAUGAGGAAGACAGUGGCGAAGGCGGGGUCUCUG